rnacentral:rRNA from 1 species
GACGAACGCUGGCGGCGUGCUUAACACAUGCAAGUCGAACGGAAAGGCCCUGCUUUUGUGGGGUGCUCGAGUGGCGAACGGGUGAGUAACACGUGAGUAACCUGCCCUUGACUUUGGGAUAACUUCAGGAAACUGGGGCUAAUACCGGAUAGGAGCUCCUGCUGCAUGGUGGGGGUUGGAAAGUUUCGGCGGUUGGGGAUGGUCUCGCGGCUUAUCCGCUUGUUGGUGGGGUAGUUGCUUACCAAGGCUUUGACGGGUAGGCGGCCUGAGAGGGGGACCGGCGACAUUGGGACUGAGGUACGGCCCAGAAUGCUACGGGAGGCAGCGGGGGGGAAUAUUGCACAAUGGGCGGAAGCCAGAUGCAGCAACGCCGCGUGCGGGAUGACGGGCUUCGGGUUGUAAACCGCUUUCGCCUGUGACGAAGCGUGAGUGACGGUAAUGGGUAAAGAAGCACCGGCUAACUACGUG